GCAGGAGAGGAAGGUAGAAUUCCCGGUGUAGCGGUGAAAUGCGUAGAGAUCGGGAGGAAUACCAGUGGCGAAGGCGGCCUUCUGGACUGACACUGACACUGAGGUGCGAAAGCGUGGGUAGCAAACAGGAUUAGAUACCCUGGUAGUCCACGCCGUAAACGAUGUCGACCAGCCGUUGGGUGCCUAGCGCACUUUGUGGCGAAGUUAACGCGAUAAGUCGACCGCCUGGGGAGUACGGCCGCAAGGUUAAAACUCAAAUGAAUUGACGGGGGCCCGCACAAGCGGUGGAGCAUGUGGUUUAAUUCGAUGCAACGCGAAGAACCUUACCUACUCUUGACAUCCUGCGAAUUUGGUAGAGAUACCUUAGUGCCUUCGGGAACGCAGAGACAGGUGCUGCAUGGCUGUCGUCAGCUCGUGUUGUGAAAUGUUGGGUUAAGUCCCGUAACGAGCGCAACCCUUGUCCUUAUUUGCCAGCGCGUAAUGGCGGGAACUCUAAGGAGACUGCCGGUGACAAACCGGAGGAAGGUGGGGACGACGUCAAGUCAUCAUGGCCCUUACGAGUAGGGCUACACACGUGCUACAAUGGUCGGUACAAAGGGUUGCCAACUCGCGAGAGUGAGCCAAUCCCGAAAAGCCGAUCUCAGUCCGGAUCGGAGUCUGCAACUCGACUCCGUGAAGUCGGAAUCGCUAGUAAUCGUGGAUCAGAAUGCCACGGUGAAUACGUUCCCGGGCCUUGUACACACCGCCCGUCACACCAUGGGAGUGGACUGCACCAGAAGUGGUUAGCCUAACGCAAGAGGGCGAUCACCACGGUGUGGUUCAUGAGUGGGGUGAAGUCGUAACAAGGUAACCGUA
rnacentral:rRNA from 1 species